AUUAAACUGAAGAGUUUGAUCCUGGCUCAGAUUGAACGCUGGCGGUAUGCUUAACACAUGCAAGUCGAACGGAAACGAUGGGAGCUUGCUCCCAGGCGUCGAGUGGCGGACGGGUGCGUAACGCGUAGGAAUCUACCCAGUAGCGGGGGACAACUCGGGGAAACUCGAGCUAAUACCGCAUACGCCCUACGGGGGAAAGAGGGCCUCUCCUUGGAAGCUCUCACUAUUGGAUGAGCCUGCGUCGGAUUAGCUUGUUGGUAGGGUAAUGGCCUACCAAGGCAACGAUCCGUAGCUGGUCUGAGAGGACGAUCAGCCACACUGGGACUGAGACACGGCCCAGACUCCUACGGGAGGCAGCAGUGGGGAAUAUUGGACAAUGGGGGCAACCCUGAUCCAGCAAUACCGCGUGUGUGAAGAAGGCCUGCGGGUUGUAAAGCACUUUCAAUUGUGAAGAAAAGCUAGGGGUUAAUAACCUCAAGUCUUGACGUUAACUUUAGAAGAAGCACCGGCUAACUCUGUGCCAGCAGCCGCGGUAAUACAGAGGGUGCGAGCGUUAAUCGGAAUUACUGGGCGUAAAGCGCGCGUAGGUGGUUUGGUCAGUCAGAUGUGAAAGCCCUGGGCUUAACCUGGGAACUGCAUUUGAUACUGCCAAACUAGAGUAUGGUAGAGGGUAGUGGAAUUUCCGGUGUAGCGGUGAAAUGCCUAGAGAUCGGAAGGAACACCAGUUGCGAAGGCGGAUCUCUGGACGGUUCCUGACGCUGAGGCACGAAAGCUGGGGUAGCGAAGAGGAUUAGAUACCCUCGUAGUCC
rnacentral:rRNA from 1 species